rnacentral:lncRNA from 1 species
CUCUGCCAACAUCAGCGUCACCUGUGGGGAGAGGUCAAGCUCCUUCCUGAGGAACUUGAUUACGUUAAUUCCAGACAGUGGAAGAGAUGAAUUUAACAUCAUGCGUAAGGCUAUUUCUCCAAAAGAAUUUAAUAUCAUGCAUAAGGCUAACGUAGAUACCCCUAACAAUAAUGAAAGGGGAAGAAAAUGGGGAGAAAUAUCUGCUUCUCUCUUUUAUAUCAGUUCAUUCUUUCAUUAAUUUUUCAAAAAUUUUAGAUAUGGCUGUUGGUAAAUGCUGUGUCCUAACUCGCAUGCCGACUUAAAUUGACCUAACUCCAUAUUCUCUGUUAUUUCAUUUCUUUCUUUCUUUUUUCACUUCUGUUCAGCUAUUGUUUUCGAUGCUCCAACAACUGUCAACACCUUUAAAGUUUCUGCUGACGUUGAAUUACCAAAUUAUAUAUUAGAGAAUGAAGAACUAUAAAUUUAGUUGUCUAUUCAAAUGUAAAAGAUUCACAUUGCUAUGUAUUGGCAGGUACCGAAAAUGGAGGGCCAACUAUUGAAUUAUUUCGGCUUUCGGAUAUUCGCGCUCACUACGAAAAUGAAAAAAAAAAGAAAAAAAAAGAACCUGUUGGAACCUGGAACCGACCCCGGAACCUGUGACAGGGUAGGUUCCAGGUUCUCGGUUUUGACGGGUAGGUUCCAGGUUCCAAAAAUUGAGGAACCUAUACCCGAGGGUAGGUUCCAGGUUCCGGACGGAACCGAACCGGAACCGGGAACCGCUCACCCCUA